rnacentral:rRNA from 1 species
AGUGAACGCUGGCGGUAGGCCUAACACAUGCAAGUCGAACGGCAGCACAGGAGAGCUUGCUCUCUGGGUGGCGAGUGGCGGACGGGUGAGGAAUACAUCGGAAUCUACUCUGUCGUGGGGGAUAACGUAGGGAAACUUACGCUAAUACCGCAUACGACCUACGGGUGAAAGCAGGGGACCUUCGGGCCUUGCGCGAUUGAAUGAGCCGAUGUCGGAUUAGCUAGUUGGCGGGGUAAAGGCCCACCAAGGCGACGAUCCGUAGCUGGUCUGAGAGAAUGAUCAGCCACACUGGAACUGAGCAACGGUCCAGACUCCUACGGGAGGCAGCAGUGGGGAAUAUUGGGCAAUGGGAGCAAGCCUGAACCAGCCAUACCGCGUGGGUGAAGAAGGCCUUCGGGUUGUAAAGCCCUUUUGUUGGGAAAGAAAUCCAGCUGGCUAAUACCCGGUUGGGAUGACGGUACCCAAAGAAUAAGCACCGGUUAACUUCGUGCCAGCAGCCGCCGUAA